UACGGCCACAUGACGUUGAAACACCGACUCCCGUACAAUCACCGAAGUUAAGCAACGUCGAUCCUGGUCAGUACCUUGAUGGGUGACCCCUUUUGGGAGAUCCAGGUGCUGUAAG